rnacentral:piRNA from 1 species
UAGGUCAGGAACUAUGGACAUGAUCAGGGUU